UACGUAGGGGGCGUAGCGUUGUUCGGAAUUACUGGGCAUAAAGCGCACGUAGGUGGUUCGCUAAGUCGCGUGUGAAAUCCCUCGGCUCAACCGAGGAAUUGCGGGCGAUACUGGCGAGCUAGAGGAUCGGGGAGGGGUGAGUGGAACUCCAGGUGGAGCGGUGAAAUGCGUAGAUAUCUGGAGGAACGACCGGUGGCGAAAGCGACUCACUGGCCCGACACUGACACUGAGGCGC
rnacentral:rRNA from 1 species